rnacentral:rRNA from 1 species
AACCUCCGCAAUGUGAGAAAUCGCGACGGGGGGAUCCCAAGUGCCAUUCCUAACGGGAUGGCUUUUCAUUAGUGUAAAAAGCUUUUGGAAUAAGAGCUGGGCAAGACCGGUGCCAGCCGCCGCGGUAACACCGGCAGCUCUAGUGGUAGCAAUUUUUAUUGGGCCUAAAGCGUCCGUAGCCGGUUUAAUAAGUCUCUGGUGAAAUCCUGUAGCUUAACUGUGGGAAUUGCUGGAGAUACUAUUAGACUUGAGACCGGGAGAGGUUAGAGGUACUCCCAGGGUAGAGGUGAAAUUCUGUAAUCCUGGGGGGACCGCCUGUUGCGAAGGCGUCUAACUGGAACGGUUCUGACGGUGAGGGACGAAAGUUAGGGGCGCGAACCGGAUUAGAUACCCGGGUAGUCCUAACUGUAAACGAUGCGGACUUGGUGUUGGGGUGGCUUUGAGCUGCUCCAGUGCCGAAGGGAGCUGUAGUCCGCCGCUGGGAAGUACGGUCGCAAGACUAAAACUUAAGGAAUUG